GAUGAACGCUGGCGGCGUGCCUAAUACAUGCCAGUCGAGCGAACAGACGAGGAGCUUGCUCCUCUGACGUUAGCGGCGGACGGGUGAGUAACACGUGGAUAACCUACCUAUAAUACUGGGAUAACUUCGGGAAACCGGAGCUAAUACCGGAUAAUAUAUUGAACCGCAUGGUUCAAUAGUGAAAGACGGUUUUGCUGUCACUUAUAGAUGGAUCCUCGCCGCAUUAGCUAGUUGGUAAGGUAACGGCUUACCAAGGCAACGAUGCGUAGCCGACCUGAGAGGGUGAUCGGCCACACUGGAACUGAGACACGGUCCAGACUCCUACGGGAGGCAGCAGUAGGGAAUCUUCCGCAAUGGGCGAAAGCCUGACGGAGCAACGCCGCGUGAGUGAUGAAGGUCUUCGGAUCGUAAAACUCUGUUAUUAGGGAAGAACAAAUGUGUAAGUAACUAUGCACGUCUUGACGGUACCUAAUCAGAAAGCCACGGCUAACUACGUG
rnacentral:rRNA from 1 species